rnacentral:lncRNA from 1 species
CAUGGCUCUGAGCUCUCAGAGAGGCACAUCUGAAUCCCUGCCCCUUGCUGGCACUGCUCUCCCGSCUGGGAAUCCUUCCCCUUGGAUGCCCCAAAUCCUUUCUCCCUGCCUCCCAGGUGAGCCUGUACGCCGACCUGCCGAAGCCCAGCCACAGCGUCCACAUGGGGACCGUGGGGACYGGCUCCAAGGUCAUGGCCUUCAGCAUCCCACAGGCGAGGGCGGCGGCGAUCAGCGCUGCCCCUGCCCCAGCCCUGCGGCCCUCUCUGGAUGGAGGUAGGCUGAGCUGCUUUUCUCCAUCCCACCCGACCAGCUCUGGGGACCAUCAGCUCAUUGCACUCCCACCGUGGCAUCGGGGGAGCUGCAGCCAAGAUGCCCUACCCAGGGCCGGACCACGACUUGCCCCAUGGCUGGGGAACCAGGUGCUCCUGGGGGUCACCUGUGUCACCUUGUCUUUGCCUUUUGUUGCAGAGCCAGCACAAGGAGCAGCCAGCCAGGGGAUGUCACCUCAGCCUCGUUUUCCUCCUUUGCCCGGUGCGGGCUGCUCUGCAUGCCCAGGAGAGUGCAGGUGCCCAGGGCAGCACCCAUGCCYGGGAACCCAGCUCACGCGGACACUGGCGGGACAAACCCGCAAGUUUCAGGCUCAGGUGGAGUCCUUCGAAGCCUGGGUCCAGGCGGGAAAGUCCACACCACAGGAGCAGCUCCAGAGAUUUAGGAAGCUGRAGGACACUCAGGACGUGCUGGAGCGAGCAUAUCUGCAAGCCCGGGAGGAGAACCGCAGGCUGCAACAGCACCGGGGAGCCUCAGGGGAGUUUGAUCCAGACCGGUAGGUGUUUUAGCACAGGACAGGAGGGACAAGGGCUCAGUUCCCACUCUGCCAUGCUCUUUGCUACC